UUUGGCAAUUAACCUCCCAUAUAAAAGGCACAGCUUGGCUUGCUGCUGGUUUGGGCUUUUUGUUGUUGAAGUUCAAUUCUGGCUGCCUCCUUGCCAGAGUGUUUUAGCCUCUAACUCAGAGCUGUGGUGGUACCUCUGUGUGAGCCUGACACCUGAGCUCUGGGCACAAUGAGCGGUUUGGAUACCUGCACUGUUUGUCACUGCACAGCUCUGGGCUCUGACUUACAUCUCACGUGGGGGAUGUGAAGAGAAACUUGCUCUCUGAGACUCGGGAAAACCAAGAAUGAAUGAAUGAAUGAACAGUUUGCUCUCCUGUAUGUAUCUCAUGGCAGCAGACACGGCAGUAGAUUCUCUCAGUGAAACAGCACUGAGAGUGCCAAGAGAAGUCAUUGCACAGGAGAAGUGUUUCCAUUUUGUUGCUUU